UGAUUGGUGAUUGGUGACAGCAGGUUCUGAAACACCAGUUUAACUGGCUCCAGUCCUCACUCGCCAUAGACAAACACAACACACGUACCCUUUCACAGAAAGAUCGGGAACGCCACUAAAAGAGACAUUCUUCAACUUCAUAGGUUGGACAUGUGCUAUUAUUCAGCUUCACUUUUGUGGUUAGAACUGAAAGUUUUGCGAAGCCCAGGCUUUUUUGCGGUGUAUCCGUGAGAUGGAAUGAAUUUUCUUCCCUCUUUACUUUCCUCCUCAUGGGACAGGGCACAAGAUUUGGCCAAAGACAGACUCCAGUGGUAGAAUAUUGUUGCUGCCUUAUGUCCCACCCGGGACAAAGAGGACUGAGGUCAAAGAUGAAAAAUCCCUUAGAGACAGAGAAAGUCUACAGUGCACCAUUAAAUUGAGAAAUUCCACUUUAUAGCACACACAGACACACACAAUGCUGCCAGGCUGUGGUCCGGGAGGUGAGACAGAAAUGCAGUUUAAGCCCCACCCUCUUCAACAUAUAUAUCAACGAAUUGGCGAGGGGACUAGAACAGUCUGCAGCACCUGGCAUCACCCACUAGAAUCUGAAGUAAAAUGUCUACUGUUUGCUGAUGAUCUGGUGCUUCUGUCACCAACCAAGGAGGGUGUCACGUCCUGACCAGUAAAGAGGUUAUUUGUUAUUGUAGUUUGGUCAGGAUGUGGCAGGGGGUGUUUGUUUAAUGUGUUUCGGGGUUGUUGGGCAAUGUUCUAUGUUAAUCUAUUUCUAUGUCUGUGUCUAGUUUAUCUAUUUCUAUGCUUAGUUUAUUGGGUUGACAUUCAAUUGGAGGCAGCUGUUUCUUGUUGCCUCUAAUUGAAGGUCCUAUUUAGUAGGGGUGUUUUUUCAUGGGUUUUUGUGGGUAGUUGUUCCAUGUUUAGCGUUUAGCCUGACAGGACUGUCUUCGUCGUCAUUGUUUGUUAUUUUGUUUCGUGUUCACGUUCCUUCAAUAAAAGAAGAUGAGUUCACACAUUCCCGCUGCGCCUUGGUCCCAUCUUUACGAUGAACGUGACAGAGGGCCUACAGGGGCACCUAGAUCUUCUGCACAGAUUCUGUCAGACCUGGGCUCUGACAGUAAAUCUCAGUAAUAAUGGUGUUCCAAAAAAGGUCCAGUUGCCAGGACCACGAAUACAAAUUCCAUCUAGACGCUGUUGCCCUAGAGCACACAAAAAACGAUCUACACCUCGGCCUAAACAUCAGCGCCACAGGUAACUUCCACAAAGCUGUGAACGAUCUGAGAGACAAGGCAAGAAGGGCCUUCUAUGCCAUCAAAAGGAACAUAAAAUUCGACAUACCAAUUAGGAUCUUGCUAAAAAUACUUGAAUCAGUUAUAGAAGCCAUUGUCCUUUAUGAUAGUGAGGUCUGGCGUCCGCUCACCAACCAAGAAUUCACAAAAUGGGACAAACACCAAAUUGAGACUCUGCAUGCAGCAUUCUGCAAAAAUGUUCUCAGUGUACAACAUAAAACACCAAAUAAUGCAUGCAGAGCAGAAUUAGGCCAAUACCCACUAACUAUCAAAAUCCAGAAAAGAUUCUACAACCACC